rnacentral:rRNA from 1 species
CACGUAGGGCGCAAGCGUUGUCCGGAAUUAUUGGGCGUAAAGAGCUCGUAGGCGGUCUGUUGCGUCGGGAGUGAAAAUUCACAGCUUAACUGUGAACUUGCUUCCGAUACGGGCAGACUUGAGGUAUUCAGGGGAGAACGGAAUUCCUGGUGUAGCGGUGAAAUGCGCAGAUAUCAGGAGGAACACCGAUUGCGAAGGCAGCUCGCUGGGACGUUACUGACGCUGAGACGCGAAAGCGUGGGGAGCAAACAGG